AAACGGGCAUUGCUAAUACGCUGGGUAACAAAGGGGCAGUGGGCGUGUCUUUCAUGUUUAAUGGAACUUCCUUCGGCUUUGUGAACUGUCACCUGACAUCAGGCAACGAAAAGAUCGGCAGGAGGAACCAGAACUACCUGGAUAUCCUGCGGCUGCUCUCUCUAGGAGAUAAACAGCUGAGCUCCUUUGACAUCUCUCUACGCUUCACACACCUCUUCUGGCUGGGAGACCUCAACUACAGGCUGGACAUGGACAUACAGGAGAUCCUGAACUACAUCAACAGGAAAGAGUUUGAUCCUCUGCUGAAGGUGGACCAGCUCAACCAGGAGAGAGAGAAGAACAAGGUGUUCCUACGCUUUGGUCAGUUACACACACACACACACACACACACACACACACACACACACACACACACACACAC